rnacentral:rRNA from 1 species
UACGAAGGGGGCUAGCGUUGCUCGGAAUCACUGGGCGUAAAGGGUGCGCAGGCGGGUCUUAAGUCAGGGGUGAAAUCCUGGAGCUCAACUCCAGAACUGCCUUUGAUACUGAAGAUCUUGAGUUCGGGAGAGGUGAGUGGAACUGCGAGUGUAGAGGUGAAAUUCGUAGAUACUCGCAAGAACACCAGUGGCGAAGGCGGCUCACUGGCCCGAUACUGACGCUGAGGCACGAAAGCGUGGGGAGCAAACAGG